GCCGUAUUUUGACUUGAGUUUGGCCGCAGAGCCAAGCUGUGAUCUGGCAACCCUGGUCACAAGUCAUCUUUUUUUCCUGCUUUUUCCCAGGAAAGGCUGGGAGCGCAUCUGCCUUUUCUACCAUGUCUGAUCCGGUUACCCUUCGCUGUGAGCCUUAGGCUGAGUUUUCUCCAGAAGUCCCAAGAGUUGGCAGGGAAAUCUGACUUGGAUGGAGAUCCAGACGUUGCUAUUGGAGGCGAGCAUGGCGACCUGCAAAAAUUCAUCAGGGCUGGACCAUGCGUGGAGAGGCGCAAAACUUAAUCAAGUUCGGAGUCCUGGAAAGUGGGGAGCCCCUUGUCCCAUGUUCCCCUGCCGCCCCUGUGUAUGCACGGGGAAGGCAGGGAGGAAAUCAAAAAUUGCAGUCCUGCUGCGCUGCCUCCAGGAGGAAAAUUGGGACCGCCAAAAAGGUCAGAGCCAUUCAAGAUUAGGCGAAAAGUUGAGAAACCUCUUUCCAGCAGAUGCCUGCAUCAAAACAUCACGUUAGGUCGUAACUUGUGCUUCUCAGAGUAAUGUGAGCUUGUAGCUGUUUUUUCUUUUUAACUGCCAAUGGGGGUGUGAUCUGAUUGGUUGGGGGGUUGACUGUGUUCCGAUUGGCUGAGGGUGUGUUCUGUUCAGGUGGGGGCUUGGCUGUGGUGGUAGCAUCUUGUGUGGCACUCGGUGUGGGUCUGGUGUCAUUCUUCAUGUUAGGUAUUCGUUUGUUAAUGAGGGCGGGUUUCCAAAUGGCUNGCCAUAGAGACAGAAAAACGCCCACACAGCAUGAAUAAAAGAGAUGAUGCCUCCCGCCUACCAGCCAUUUGGAAACCCGUCCUCAUUAACAUCCUGCUUGUGGUUUUUCCAAGUUCAAAUAGUUCAAAGGCCUUAUUUGCAUGUAGAAAUAUUACUGAUUGAUUUUCAAUAUAUUGUUUCAAAUAUUCCAAAAUUUCAAACACAAGUAUCACAUUCUUCUUCAACUAUCUUUUUGGUUAAAAAAAAAUCCCACAACAUUAUUCGAGGUUAUCUGAUAUCUCUUGCCUCAAUGUUUCUGUUCUGAUAUCGGCCCAAGUAUCUUCAUCAAGCCCUUUUUCUAGCUGUUCUACUUUUUCUGUCCCUGCUUGUCUAAUAAAUUUCAGUGAGAAGUCUGAUUGCUGCAUCCAAGAUGUUGUCUGUUGAUUGCUUACACUCUAAAUUCCGUUUCUUUAGCAGCUAAGAUUUGUUUUCAUACACAGUGCUUAAUGAGUCCCUUUUUCAGAAGUUCUUUUUAAACCAUUCCCAGUUUGAUUGACUUGAGCUGAAAACAUCCAUCAAAAGUACUGGAUUUUAGAUAAUUUACAUUUUCUGUCACCAACAAGGAUUGUGGAGAUUUUUUAUUUUGAAAAAAUAUCCAAGAUAGAAAAGUGAAAUAUACUGUGCAAAUUUUUUCUUUGUUUUUUAUCUUGUACAUCUAUAGUAUAGUAAAUAUACAAACAACGUAUAAGUUCUUUCUGUUUGUUUUCUCAUAAUAGUUUUUUUAGUAUAUUUGUAAUAUACAAUGUUCUAAUAUACUAUUAUACUAUUUAUUAUUGUCCAUAUAACAUAUGCUAUAUAAUGCUAUGUAUUAUUGUCCAUCUUUGUAUAUUAUAUUAUUCCAACAAGUAUAUUGUUAACUAUUGCUACUAUAUUUCUACUAGUAUACAACAAUAGUUUUACUCUUACAAAACCUGGUCUGUCUUUAAAUCCUCUUUGGGAUUUCCUCUCUUGUUUUUCUUCUUUAUUAAUGGACAGUAGGUAAAGCACUGACACUUCCCAACACUGGGAUUGGCUAACACGAUGUUACAAUUUACAACCACAUCACUUAGUGAUGGAAAUUUUCAUCUAAAUUCUAUUCCUUAAUCAAGGACUACCUGUAUAGCUCAUUGUCUUGAUCUCUGUUUUACAUCCAUCAUGGGCAGUGUUACAUAUUAACAUUCUUGUAAUUCCCUAACCUGAUUGGCUGAAACAAACUGCACUGUGAUUGGCCGAGACGCACGACGGUGAUUGGUUAGUAAGGAAUCUCCCGUGAUUGGACGAACCGAUCGUGGGAGAUUCAGAAAGCUGUCAUUGGAUGAGAGCCGUCAGCUAGCUCUAUAAGAAGAGCUGCCGCGGCUCACGAAAGGCUACACAGAUCGAUACCUUGAAUAAAGAGCUGAAGUUACGCUGGUCUCCUGUCUCCUGAUUUCCCACGCUUCUACAGGCAGUGAGGUAGUUGAAUGAAAACACAACAAAUGGAGAUUUUUAUGCUUGUAAUGGUAUGCUCAUGCUUACAUCCUCAUUCUUACAAGUCAAGUCUUUUUGUUGUGGGGACAGGAAAACAUUUGGUUCAGCCAUGUUCACUUUGUAAGAGAGAUAGGAAUAUCUGUAGCAGCCAGGACUCAGACACAGGGCCCAAGAUUGGGAUUCUAUCAUGAUGACUCCAGACCACUGAAAUGGCUUUGCAGAACUUGCUCAAGGAUGUAUUCUUUCCAUUGUACAGAGGGCCAUUGAAGACAGCAUUAAUAGGCAGCUUGAAUCUGAGGCUAUUGUGGAACCUUGUCUGGCAGCUGAACUUUGGAGAGGAACAAAGAAACAUUAUGUUUCUCUAUCUGCCUUCAUUAUCAUGACCAGGAGCUUCAGGAUACAUAGCUAUUAUUAUGGGCUUUGACUUUGAACCUACUGGAACUGGAAACAUGACCCAUCUAUUGAAGAGAUGAAAGGGCUAUAAUAUAGCCAUCAAUACAAUCCUGACAGCCAUGGUUUGUACUUGUCCCCCUACCUGUAAGAAGGCAUGUUCCUUUCCAGCCUGGGCAAUUAACCUCUUGACCAUUCCUAGAGGUGAACUGUAU
ensembl:lncRNA